rnacentral:rRNA from 1 species
CAGAAACUCAAAGGAAUUGACGGGGCCCGCACAAGCGGUGGAGCAUGUGGUUUAAUUCGAUGAUACGCGAGGAACCUUACCUGGGCUCGAACGUAAGAUGACUGUAGGUGAAAGCUUACAUCUCUUCGGAGCAUUUUACGAGGUGCUGCAUGGUUGUCGUCAGCUCGUGCCGUGAGGUGUCGGGUUAAGUCCCAUAACGAGCGCAACCCUACCUUUAGUUGCCAUCAGGUAAUGCUGGGGACUCUAAAGGAACUGCCUACGCAAGUAGUGAGGAAGGCGGGGAUGACGUCAAAUCAGCACGGCCCUUACGUCCAGGGCUACACACGUGCUACAAUGGCCGAUACAGAGGGCAGCUACCUGGUGACAGGAUGCAAAUCUCCAAAGUCGGUCUCAGUUCGGAUCGGAGUCUGCAACCCGACUCCGUGAAGUUGGAUUCGCUAGUAAUCGCGCAUCAGCCAUGGCGCGGUGAAUACGUUCCCGGGCCUU